AUACAUAUAUAGAUGGAUACAUACAUAUGUACAUACGAACGAGUAGUGUAAUUUUCUUAGACCUGCUCGGACGUCAGUGUUAAAAUUUCACAUCAGUCGUCGAAAUCAUUUAGAUUGCGAAAAUGUGUGCAUUCGCGUCAAAACAGUUCAGCAGCUGAAAUGCGUAAAUAUAAUAUAAAAAAAUUAUAUAUAACAUACCUGCGCAGACUGCAGUGUAAUCUAUUGCAAAAUCAAUAAUAUAGAUUUAUUGAUAAAAACAAAAAUAUACUACAUAUUAGUGCAUCAACAAAUAAUUAAAAAAAAAAAACCAAAUUUUUUAAAAGCUAUUUUAAUAUAAGUAUGUAUGUUUACAUGGUACACAAAAUAUAAUUGAUAAGGAUUUAGUGCUCUUCAACAAAAAAAAAGGUGUUAUAUUUGAAACAUACAAAAUUUAAGUGAUUAAUUGAAAUUAUAAAUGUUGAUUAUCAGGCUUAAUUCAACGCCCGUUUAAAAAAAAAUAUAACAAAAAAAAAGCUCUAAAAGCAUCUCCUCAAAAAUAAGCAAAUAACUUCAAAUACAUAUAUCACUAGUGUGUUCAUUUCUAAUUCGAAUGAGCGCAAUGAGUGGCCUACGCCAGCAAUUAAAGAUGCUGGGAACAGCAUUGCUAGGGAAACGUACCACAAAGUCUGUCAAAAAGAAACCAUUCACCGAAGUAGAAUUAAGAG